ensembl:misc_RNA 7SK 7SK RNA
ACAUGUGAGGGUCAUCUGGCUGCAACACCUGCCAUGUUUUUGGUCACCAGGCAGGUGUCCCUCUUUUGCCCUCACUGCUCUGAGUGUUCUACCUGAAGCAGCAUGCUGGGCUGAAGGGAACACCUCUGUUGGUAGAGGAAGAAAGCUCUUUGGUCAAGGCGAUAGAGUAGCUGCGCCUCAUGCUGGAACCUCCAGCCUCACAAAACAGCAGCAGCAAGCACCAUUUUCUUUCUUUUUUUCCCCAUAAAUAGUUAUCUCUCAAAACUAGGUCCUGCAAUGAAAAGAUUUUAUUUAUUU